rnacentral:rRNA from 1 species
AGGGGCAGCAUAAAUUACUUGUAAUUUGAUGGCGACCGGCGAACGGGUGCGUAACGCGUAUGCAACCCACCUUUUACUAGAGAAUAGCCAAGAGAAAUUUUGAUUAAUGCUCUAUACACUUUAAGACUCACAUGAGUCUAAAAGAAAAGCUCCGGCGGUAAAAGAUGGGCAUGCGUUCUAUUAGCUUGUAGGUGAGGUAACGGCUCACCUAAGCUUCGAUAGAUAGGGGUCCUGAGAGGGAGACCCCCCACACUGGUACUGAGACACGGACCAGACUUCUACGGAAGGCAGCAGUAAGGAAUAUUGGACAAUGGAGGCAACUCUGAUCCAGCCAUGCCGCGUGAAGGAAGAAGGCCCUAUGGGUCGUAAACUUCUUUUAUACAGGAAGAAAUCUUUCCACGUGUGGAAAGUUGACGGUACUGUAAGAAUAAGGAUCGGCUAACUCCGUGCCAGCAGCCGCGGUAAUACGGAGGAUCCAAGCGUUAUCCGGAAUUAUUGGGUUUAAAGGGUCCGCAGGCUGUUUGUUAAGUUAGAGGUGAAAUCCUACCGCUCAACGGUAGAACUGCCUUUAAAACUGGCAAACUUGAGUUAUUGUGAAGUAAUUAGAAUGUGUAGUGUAGCGGUGAAAUGCAUAGAUAUUACACAGAAUACCGAUUGCGAAAGCAGAUUACUAACAAUUAACUGACGCUGAGGGACGAAAGCGUGGGUAGCGAACAGGAUUAGAUACCCUGGUAGUCCACGCCGUANACGAUGGUCACUAGCUGUUUGAUGUACAUUGGUACAUUGAGUGGCUAAGCGAAAGUGAUAAGUGACCCACCUGGGGAG